GAAAGCUGGUCUCAUCACCUGGAGUACCAGUCCCACCACGGGGCCUCAUGGGAGACGGACGGGGCACACACAAAUGUACAGGAAGGGCUAGAACAGCAGGGCCCUGUGCCUGCCCCGUGGCUGCAGGUAUAUUAAUAGUUGCUGGGUCCCAGGCGGGCAGUGCCCACAUGCCUUCAGAGCCGGUGUGGUCCACAGGAAGGCAACACCGUGCCUCCGGGGAAAGAGGCCUCCGAGUUCCUGCUGAACCACUCAACAGCUUAAAAUACAACCAGCCCUCUCCCUGCCUGCCAGCUGCUGGGGAAGGGCUAAAAUUCUACCCUCCCCCAACCGGGCAUGAGACCAGGGCCCAGGAGGAGAGGACAGCCGUCGGGGGCCCAACUGGCUGCUGGGAGAGGAAGCUGGGCAGCAGGAGAGGGCGGCCAGGAGAGGGGCUAUACUCCCAGCAGCCGCCACACUGCGCCCAGGCCAGCCCAAGACCAAAGGACAGGAGAGACUGAGCCCUCACAGAGGAAGGCACUGUUGGAUCAGAAGACUGGAAGAGGCCAGAGAUGCUGACCCCUGUGGACACAGGCUGACCAGAGCGGCAGGAGGAGCUCAUCCAGGCCGGCCCGCAACCUGUGCGCCCAGCUCUCCCAGCCCCAGUGCAGCAAGCAGUUCCAGGCCUGCCCGGAGCCACCAUCAACUUGCAUCAUUGGAAACCCAUGAUGAUCUGAUAUCAGGGACACGGUGAGAAGUCCUCAAAGGUAGACCUGUGAGUCAUAGGGUGGGGCAAGGGUGAGUCAUUGCUGAGCCCUUAACCAUCCAGGUUGGUUCUAAACACUCUGAAGCUACAACUUUUGGGGACUUCUAAGUAACAGCAAAGGCUGUGGUCUUCAGAAACUAUCUUUUUCACUCGGCCUAUCUGGACAAAACAGAUGAAAACACAAAGGUGUUUUAUAACCGCACUUUCAAAAGCAUCGAUUUUAUUCUGUUGGUAGUUGGGGGGCUCACAGUAUCUUGAAACCUUUGUGUCCCAACCGGCCUCAUUUGCUGCCCUCAUUGAGGGGAAACAAUGAGAGUACUCACUCGGAGACCACAUCUUAAAAUCCUACCAAGUUGAGAUGUCAAAUUGUGAGGUACUAAGGGGGUAGACUUGAAACCCUAAAAUCUAUCCAUGUUUUGCUACUUCGCUAGUUCUGUCAAAUUCUAGCUUCUCCAGUGUAGUCUGCGUCGGCGCCUCUUCCGUACCACUGGGUUCCAGCUAGGUGAGGCUUGUGGUGUCCUGACCAAAUAGAUGGCAUCCUUGGGGGAAUUCUGUACACAUUCCUAGGGAGUUGGAACAUUCUGGAGUUCCCCUUUUGAGAUUGCUUUCCUGAGCCCUGCACUCACUCAACAGGAACCAACUCAUUUUGUGAACCUACUGUUAACGUAAAAAAACCAUUGAAACCUGUAAAGAAUUUUUGUAAGUUUAUUUGAGCCAAACUGUUGACAUAUGCUGGGA